GAACGGACGAGAAGCUUGCUUCUCUGAUGUUAGCGGCGGACGGGUGAGUAACACGUGGAUAACCUACCUAUAAGACUGGGAUAACUUCGGGAAACCGGAGCUAAUACCGGAUAAUAUUUUGAACCGCAUGGUUCAAAAGUGAAAGACGGUCUUGCUGUCACUUAUAGAUGGAUCCGCGCUGCAUUAGCUAGUUGGUAAGGUAACGGCUUACCAAGGCAACGAUGCAUAGCCGACCUGAGAGGGUGAUCGGCCACACUGGAACUGAGACACGGUCCAGACUCUUACGGGAGGCAGCAGUAGGGAAUCUUCCGCAAUGGGCGAAAGCCUGACGGAGCAACGCCGCGUGAGUGAUGAAGGUCUUCGGAUCGUAAAACUCUGUUAUUAGGGAAGAACAUAUGUGUAAGUAACUGUGCACAUCUUGACGGUACCUAAUCAGAAAGCCACGGCUAACUACGUGCCAGCAGCCGCGGUAAUACGUAGGUGGCAAGCGUUAUCCGGAAUUAUUGGGCGUAAAGCGCGCGUAGGCGGUUUUUUAAGUCUGAUGUGAAAGCCCACGGCUCAACCGUGGAGGGUCAUUGGAAACUGGAAAACUUGAGUGCACCCCCGAGGAAAGUGGAAUUCCAUGUGUAGCGGUGAAAUGCGCAGAGAUAUGGAGGAACACCUAGUGGCGAAGGCGACUUUCUGGUCUGUAACUGACGCUGAUGUGUGAAAGCGUGGGGAU
rnacentral:rRNA from 1 species